AUUGAACGCUGGCGGCAUGCCUUACACAUGCAAGUCGAACGGUAACAGGUCUUCGGAUGCUGACGAGUGGCGAACGGGUGAGUAAUACAUCGGAACGUGCCCGAUCGUGGGGGAUAACGAAGCGAAAGCUUUGCUAAUACCGCAUACGAUCUACGGAUGAAAGCAGGGGACCGCAGGGCCUUGCGCGAACGGAGCGGCCGAUGGCAGAUUAGGUAGUUGGUGGGAUAAAAGCUUACCAAGCCGACGAUCUGUAGCUGGUCUGAGAGGACGACCAGCCACACUGGGACUGAGACACGGCCCAGACUCCUACGGGAGGCAGCAGUGGGGAAUUUUGGACAAUGGGCGAAAGCCUGAUCCAGUCAUGCCGCGUGCAGGAUGAAGGCCUUCGGGUUGUAAACUGCUUUUGUACGGAACGAAAAGACUCUGGUUAAUACCUGGGGUCCAUGACGGUACCGUAAGAAUAAGCACCGGCUAACUACGUG
rnacentral:rRNA from 1 species